UACGAAGGGGGCUAGCGUUGCUCGGAAUCACUGGGCGUAAAGGGUGCGUAGGUGGGUCUGUAAGUCAGUGGUGAAAUCUCCGAGCUUAACUUGGAAACUGCCAUUGAUACUAUAGGUCUUGAAUUUUCUGGAGGUAAGCGGAAUAUGUCAUGUAGCGGUGAAAUGCUUAGAUAUGACAUAGAACACCAAUUGCGAAAGGCAGCUUGCUACAGGAAUAUUGACACUGAGGCACGAAAAGCGUGGGGGAUCAAACAGG
rnacentral:rRNA from 1 species